AUUGGUGCAUAAAAGUACAAAAAAAAAAAUGACAAUAAAUUUUGAGCAGUAAAUACACGUAGAAAAACAUCAAGCUAAUUAAACUAUUAAAAGUAAUAGCCUAGGUAAUAAUAUAAACUUAGAAAAAUGUGAUCAGAUCGAUUUGUUGAUAGGAUAAAGAUUUAAACAUUGAACAAAAAUAAACAAAUACAGCUAUUUAAAGAACUCAGAUAUAUCCAAUGAUUUAAAUACAAUCAUAUAUAGUUUCAGUUUCUCUUUUUUGUUUAAUUCAAAGUCUUGCAUAGAAUCAAAUCUAAAAAAUGCUGUUUUACUUGUUAACCGUGCACUUGAUAAUUUGUUAACGUGGACUAAGUUAUCAAAAUAAAUAUAAGUACGUUUACUACUUGGACUUUUAGUUAAAAAAAGAGAUUUAAUAUUAAAGAGAAAUCUAAUGAAUUUGAAAAAUUGCUCAUUGAGAUUAAAAACGGAAAAAAAUAAAACUUGGAAUUUAAAGAGGAAAAGCUUACUUGAAGACAGUUAAAAUGUUUUUUUACAUUUCAGGUUUACAUAUGAAGACUCCACGGGAAGAAACGGCAGGGUCAAAUUUUGACUUUUUUGAUUUUCUAGCUUUAUAAACUACAGAAUCAUCUUUUGUAUUUGAUUUUGAAUCAAAUAAUUGAUUUUAUGUAUAUUCAAAGUUUGAUGGAAUUA